rnacentral:rRNA from 1 species
UGGGGAAUCUUGCACAAUGGGCGAAAGCCUGAUGCAGCGACGCCGCGUGCGGGACGAAGGCCUUCGGGUCGUAAACCGCUUUCAGCAGGGACGAGGCCGAAAGGUGACGGUACCUGCAGAAGAAGCCCCGGCUAACUACGCGCCAGCAGCCGCGGUAAUACGUAGGGGGCGAGCGUUAUCCGGAUUCAUUGGGCGUAAAGCGCGCGCAGGCGGCCUGCUCGGUCGGGAGUCAAAUCCGGGGGCUCAACCCCCGCCCGCCCCCGAUACCGGCGGGCUUGAGUCUGGUAGGGGAAGGCGGAAUUCCCAGUGUAGCGGUGGAAUGCGCAGAUAUUGGGAAGAACACCGGUGGCGAAGGCGGCCUUCUGGGCCACGACUGACGCUGAGGCGCGAAAGCUAGGGGAGCGAACAGGAUUAGAUACCCUGGUAGUCCUAGCCGUAAACGAUGGACACUAGGUGUGGGGGGAGGAUCCCUCCGUGCCGCAGCCAACGCAUUAAGUGUCCCGCCUGGGGAGUACGGCCGCAAGGCUA